rnacentral:ncRNA from 2 species
UACGUAGGGUGCAAGCGUUAAUCGGAAUUACUGGGCGUAAAGCGUGCGCAGGCGGUUCGGAAAGAAAGGUGUGAAAUCCCAGGGCUUAACCUUGGAACUGCACUUUUAACUACCGAGCUAGAGUAUGUCAGAGGGGGGUGGAAUUCCGCGUGUAGCAGUGAAAUGCGUAGAUAUGCGGAGGAACACCGAUGGCGAAGGCAGCCCCCUGGGAUAAUACUGACGCUCAUGCACGAAAGCGUGGGGAGCAAACAGG